rnacentral:rRNA from 1 species
GACGAACGCUGGCGGCGUGCUUAACACAUGCAAGUCGAACGGAAAGGCCCUGCUUUUGUGGGGUGCUCGAGUGGCGAACGGGUGAGUAACACGUGAGUAACCUGCCCUUGACUUUGGGAUAACUUCAGGAAACUGGGGCUAAUACCGGAUAGGAGCUCCUGCUGCAUGGUGGGGGUUGGAAAGUUUCGGCGGUUGGGGAUGGACUCGCGGCUUUUCAGCCUGUUGGUGGGGUAGUGGCUUACCAAGGCUUUGAUGGGUAGCCGGCCUGGGAGGGUGACCGGGCCCAGUGGGCUAGGGGAGGCGCCCGGAGGCCUUCGGGCGCAAGGGGGGGGGGAAUGUGGCAAAAGGGCCGAGGGCGUGAUGAAGCACCCCGGGUGGUGAAAGUCGGCUAUUGGGGAAGAACACCUGUUUGCCUGACAAUGAACGUCUGGACGGGAAAUUGGUAAAAAAACACCGGUAAACACGUG